rnacentral:lncRNA from 1 species
UGCCCCUUUUCAUUUUCAGACAAGCACCAACUUCACUGUAAACCAUUCUUUCUUCAAGGCGCCAUUUAUUUUCCGCCAUUUAUUUUCCCCAAAAUUUUGGUCCACCCUUAAGCUGCAUUUUUGCCCAAAUCUUGAGCUCUUUGAGUCACGAUCGACCAACGAACCGAGGCACCAUUUCUUUAACCACUAAGCUACGUUUUCCCCCAAACUUGGAGAUUAUUCAACCGCGGUCUACCAACACGUAUCCUUCGGCGCCAACGUUCAAACUCCAGAAAGACUCUUGGACCGACGCCAACGUCCAACCUCUAGAAAGACAUGGACGGACCAGUACUUCAUAAGUUGACGUCGCUGUUAGCUCUGAAAUCUGAUUUCCACCUGACCCAACUCAUUCACUCGAAGAUGGAGAUAGACAAAGGUUUGGUUUUGUGGUUUCUGAUUAGUAAAAAUUGUAAUGUGUUAAUGGAUCCUUGUCAAGAAAAUGUGUAAUCCCUCUUCUGUGUUAAAUGCAGCAAGAAAUGGGCUAAGAAACCAGUCCCAUCUCUCGCUUAAACUGUUCACCUCGUUUUAUAAUGUUAUUCUCUUAGUUUUAAAGCUGCUGGUCAUUUUAAUCUCCUCAUUGUCCCGUCUCUUUUCAAUAUCCUAAAAUUGGGGGUUUUCUUUGGUAGGAUUUUUUUUUUCCAAAGUGGGAUUUGGGAUCGGGUCUAAGUUGAGAUCUUUAGCUGUAGAAAUGGUGGCCUAGUAAAUCGAUUUUGAAUUUUCUAUUUUCAUUUUUAUUUAAUAUCUUGCAUCGGAAACCUAUUUCUAUAAUUUUGGUUUUACAGUGCAGUUCGUUUUUUGUCACAAGGAAAGAAUGUUUGCAAAACGUGGAUGACAUUAUAUUGGUAGAAUCCGAUAAUGAGAAUUUGAAGGAUGAUAUGAACUUAUUGGGUGAUGAAAACUUAGGCGGAGAUGGUGUAGUUGUUCCACAAGUGGGUAUGAAGUUCAAAGACAAUGUUGAAUUGCUUGAUUUUUACAAAAGAUAUGCGUACGCCAUAGGUUUUCCAGUUAGAAAACGAAAUUCGAAAAAGGAUGAUGAUGGAGUGAUGAGAUAUCUUACGUUGAUGUGUAGUCGUGAAGGGAAAAGAAGUAGUACUAAAAUCGGUAGUUUGAAGUCGCAAGAAACUAUUCAGACAGGUUGUCCAGCCAGACUGACAACAUCAGCACAUGAUCAUGGAAUUUGUAGAAUUAACACAGUGAAUCUCGAACACAAUCAUAAAACAAGUUCAACCAAGUCGAGGUUGUAUCGAUGCAAUCGGGAGUUAAGUGCACAAGUUAAACGGCGGCUUCAAGUAAAUGAUAUUGUAGGAAUUUCAUUGCACAAAAGUUACAAUGUUGCAGUAGUCGAAGCAGGUGAAUAUGAAACAAGUUCAGCCAUGAUUCUUGCUUUCGAUUUCAAGUGUGUCAAUAACGUUGUAUCAGUUUUAACUCUAUGCCAGAGGACACCAAAUUCAUUCUUUGCAUCUUUCUCUUGCAAUGCAUCCACACAGGACUGGCUUCUCUCCAUCUCCUGCUUCCAUAUAAUUUUUGAAGUAAUGUAUAGAAAAUUAAGAAGUUCAAAGAUAUAUUACGAAAUGAAUCAGACUUUUUAACGGGUG